rnacentral:hammerhead_ribozyme from 1 species
AUCCAGAUGACGAGUCCCAAACAGGACGAAAUGCGCUCCCUGGAU